AUACAGGUGUUGUCAUGGCUGUCGUCAGCUCGUGUCGUGAGAUGUUCGGUUAAGUCCGCUAACGAGCGCAACCCUCGCCGUAUGUUACAAGUGUCAUACGGAACUGCCGGUAAAAAGCCGGAGGAAGGUGAGGAUGAUGUCAAGUCAGCAUGACCUUUAUAUCCAGGGCUACACACACGCUACAAUGGUCUGUACAAUUUGGUUGCCAAGCCGCGAGGCGGAGCCAAUCCGUAAAGCAGGCCUCAGUUCAGAUUGCAGUCUGCAACUCGACUGCAUGAAGUCGGAGUUGCUAGUAAACGCAGGUCAGCUAUACUGCGUUGAAUACGUUCCCGGGGCUU
rnacentral:rRNA from 1 species